UGCCAGACUCCUACGGGAGGCAGCAGUGGGGAAUAUUGCACAAUGGGGGAAACCCUGAUGCAGCAACGCCGCGUGGGUGAAGGAGCGUUUCGGCGCGUAAAGCCCUCUCAGCGGGGAAGAAGAAAGACGGUACCCGACCAAGAAGCCCCGGCUAACUACGUGCCAGCAGCCGCGGUAAUACGGAGGGUGCAAGCGUUACUCGGAAUCACUGGGCGUAAAGAGCGCGUAGGCGGGAUAGCAAGUCAGAUGUGAAAUCCUAUGGCUUAACCAUAGAACUGCAUUUGAAACUGUUAUUCUAGAGUAUGGGAGAGGUAGGUGGAAUUCUUGGUGUAGGGGUAAAAUCCGUAGAGAUCAAGAGGAAUACUCAUUGCGAAGGCGACCUGCUAGAACAUAACUGACGCUGAUGCGCGAAAGCGUGGGGAGCAAACAGGAUUAGAUACCCCAGUAC
rnacentral:rRNA from 1 species